rnacentral:rRNA from 1 species
AGAGUUUGAUCAUGGCUCAGGAUGAACGCUAGCGGCAGGCCUAAUACAUGCAAGUCGAGGGGUAACAGGAAGUGCUUGCACUUCGCUGACGACCGGCGCACGGGUGAGUAUCGCGUAUACAAUCUGCCUCAUACUAGGGAAUAGCCCGAAGAAAUUUGGAUUAAUGCCCUAUAGUAUCUUUUUAAGGCAUCUUAUUAAGAUUAAAGGUUACGGUAUGAGAUGAGUAUGCGUUCUAUUAGCUAGUAGGUGUGGUAACGGCACACCUAGGCUACGAUAGAUAGGGGCCCUGAGAGGGGGAUCCCCCACACUGGUACUGAGACACGGACCAGACUCCUACGGGAGGCAGCAGUAAGGAAUAUUGGUCAAUGGACGAAAGUCUGAACCAGCCAUGCCGCGUGCAGGAUGACUGCCCUAUGGGUUGUAAACUGCUUUUAUAUAGGAAGAAAAACUUUCUCGUGAGAAAGCUUGACGGUACUAUAAGAAUAAGGAUCGGCUAACUCCGUGCCAGCAGCCGCGGUAAUACGGAGGAUCCAAGCGUUAUCCGGAAUCAUUGGGUUUAAAGGGUCCGUAGGUGGACAAAUAAGUCAGAGGUGAAAUCCUGCAGCUCAACUGUAGAACUGCCUUUGAUACUGUUUGUCUUGAGUUAUUAUGAAGUGGUUAGAAUGUGUAGUGUAGCGGUGAAAUGCAUAGAUAUUACACAGAAUACCGAUUGCGAAGGCAGAUCA